rnacentral:rRNA from 1 species
UACGGUAGGGUGCAAGCGUUGUCCGGAAUUAUUGGGCGUAAAGAGCUCGUAGGCGGUUUGUUGCGUCGGCUGUGAAAUCCCGAGGCUCAACCUCGGGUCUGCAGUCGAUACGAGCAAACUAGAGUGUUGCAGGGGAGACUGGAAUUCCUGGUGUAGCGGUGAAAUGCGCAGAUAGUCAGGAGGAACACCGGUGGCGAAGGCGGGUCUCUGGGCAACAACUGACGCUGGAGG